GCCUGGCCUUUAGGGACUGGCUUGGGGACGCCUCUGACGAUUCAAUGAAUAAAUCGAACUCAGGACGGAGAGACUGGGCUAUUUUCUAAAGGGUUCCUUUUUGAGAACCCUCUGAUGUGACGCUGAAUGAGGUGUCCCGGGGGUGAGAAAAGCCAUCAUGUAGGCAGACCCCUCCAAACAAAGCCCAAUUUGUAAGACGGGGCCACGUUGGCAGGCACAGAGCUGCACACCUGUGAUCCCAGCCUUCCUGAGACUUUGGCCCAAGGAUCGCUGGAGCCCUGGAGUUUGAGACCAGCCUCGGCAACAAAGCAAGAACCUGUCUCCAAACUAAACAAAAAGAGGCCAUUUUAAUGUUUUGUUUUGUUGUCAUUUUUCUUUCCACAACUUAAUAAAUCAUGCUCCUGGCGCUCUC